rnacentral:rRNA from 1 species
GACGUAGGGCGCGAGCGUUGUCCGGAUUUAUUGGGCGUAAAGAGCUCGUAGGCGGCUCGUUGCGUCGGCUGUGAAAACCCACAGCUUAACUGUGGGCCUGCAGCCGAUACGGGCGAGCUAGAGUUCGGUAGGGGAGACUGGAAUUCCUGGUGUAGCGGUGAAAUGCGCAGAUAUCAAGAGGAACACCAGUGGCGAAGGAGGUUGCCUGGGGCUUUGCUGACGCUGAUGCGCGAAAGCGUGGGGAGCGAUCCGG